UACGUAGGUGGCAAGCGUUGUCCGGAUUUACUGGGCGUAAAGAGCGCGCAGGCGGUCGAAUAAGUCGAAUGUGAAAGCCCCCGGCUUAACUGGGGAGGGUCAUUCGAUACUGCUCGACUUGAAGGCAGGAGAGGGAAGUGGAAUUCCCGGUGUAGUGGUGAAAUGCGUAGAUAUCGGGAGGAACACCAGUGGCGAAGGCGACCUCCUGGCCUGUUCUUGACGCUGAGGCGCGAAAGCUGGGGGAGCAAACGGG
rnacentral:rRNA from 1 species